GGAGUUAGCCGGUGCUUCUUCUGUGAGUGAUGUCCUUCCUGCCGGCUAUUAACCCGCAGGCCUUCUUCCUCACUGAAAGUGCUUUACAACCCGAAGGCCUUCUUCACACACGCGGAAUGGCUGGAUCAGGGUUGCCCCCAUUGUCCAAUAUUCCCCACUGCUGCCUCCCGUAGGAGUCUGGGCCGUGUCUCAGUCCCAGUGUGGCUGAUCAUCCUCUCAGACCAGCUACGGAUCGUCGCCUUGGUGAGCCGUUACCUCACCAACCAGCUAAUCCGACAUAGGCUCAUCCGAUAGCGCGAGGACCGAAGGUCCCCCGCUUUCCCCCGUAGGGCGUAUGCGGUAUUAGCCUGGGUUUCCCCAGGGUUAUCCCCCACUACCGGGCAGAUUCCUAUGCAUUACUCACCCGUCCGCCGCUCGCCACCAGGGAGCAAGCUCCCCGUGCUGCCGCUCGACUUGCAUGUGUUAGGCCUGCCGCCAGCGUUCAAUCUGAGCCAGGAUCAAACUCUGA
rnacentral:rRNA from 1 species